AGCAUGUGGUUUAAUUCGAAGCAACGCGAAGAACCUUACCAGAGCUUGACAUCUCCUGCAUAAUCCGUAAUGGGAUGAAAUCCUUCGGGACAGGAAGACAGGUGGUGCAUGGUUGUCGUCAGCUCGUGUCGUGAGAUGUUGGGUUAAGUCCCGCAACGAGCGCAGCCCCUAUACUUAGUUGCCAUCAUUAAGUUGGGCACUCUAAGUAGACUGCCGGAGACAAUUCGGAGGAAGGUGGGGAUGACGUCAAAUCAUCAUGCCCCUUAUGUUCUGGGCUACACACGUGCUACAAUGGGUAUAACAACGGGAAGCAAGCCAGCGAUGGUGAGCAAAUCCCUAAAAAAUACUCCCAGUUCAGAUUGUUCUCUGCAACUCGAGAACAUGAAGUCGGAGUUGCUAGUAAUCGCGAAUCAGCAUGUCGCGGUGAAUACGUUCCCGGGCCUUGUACACACCGCCCGUCACACCAUGGGAGUUGGAAGCACCCGAAGCCGGUGACUUAACCGCAAGGAGAGAGCCGUCGAAGGUGAAGCCGAUGACUGGGGUGAAGUCGUAACAAGGUAGCCGUAUCGGAAGGUGCGGCUGGAUCACCUCCUU
rnacentral:rRNA from 1 species